UAGGGAAUCUUCGGCAAUGGACGAAAGUCUGACCGAGCAACGCCGCGUGAGUGAAGAAGGUUUUCGGAUCGUAAAACUCUGUUGCCAGGGAAGAAAGGCCAGGCGAGUAACUGCGCUUGGAUUGACGGUACCUGAGAAGAAAGCCCCGGCUAACUACGUGCCAGCAGCCGCGGUAAUACGUAGGGGGCAAGCGUUGUCCGGAAUUAUUGGGCGUAAAGCGCGCGCAGGCGGUUGUUUAAGUCUGGUGUAUAAACCUGAGGCUCAACCUCGGGACGCAUUGGAAACUGGAGAACUGGAGUGUAGGAGAGGAAAGUGGAAUUCCACGUGUAGCGGUGAAAUGCGUAGAUAUGUGGAGGAACACCAGUGGCGAAGGCGACUUUCUGGCCUAUAACUGACGCUGAGGCGCGAAAGCGUGGGGAGCAAACA
rnacentral:rRNA from 1 species